GACGAACGCUGGCGGCGUGCCUAAUACAUGCAAGUCGAGCGGACUGAUUAAGAGCUUGCUCUUAUGACGUUAGCGGCGGACGGGUGAGUAACACGUGGGCAACCUGCCCUGUAGAUCGGGAUAACACCGAGAAAUCGGUGCUAAUACCGGGUAAUAUCUGAGAUCACAUGAUCUUAGGUUAAAAGAUGGCUCCGGCUAUCACUACAGGAUGGGCCCGCGGCGCAUUAGCUAGUUGGUAAGGUAAUGGCUUACCAAGGCGACGAUGCGUAGCCGACCUGAGAGGGUGAUCGGCCACACUGGGGCUGAGACACGGCCCAGACUCCUACGGGGGGCAGCAGUAGGGAAUCUUCCGCAAUGGACGAAAGUCUGACGGAGCAACGCCGCGUGAGUGAUGAAGGGGUUCGGCUCGUAAAGCUCUGUUGUUAGGGAAGAAACAGUACCGAACGAACUAGGUCGGUACCUUGACGGUACCUAACCAGAAAGCCACGGCUAACUACGUG
rnacentral:rRNA from 1 species